rnacentral:rRNA from 1 species
UACGAAGGGUGCAAGCGUUAAUCGGAAUUACUGGGCGUAAAGCGUGCGCAGGCGGUUUUGUAAGUCAGGUGUGAAAUCCCCGGGCUUAACCUGGGAACUGCGCUUGUGACUGCAAGACUCGAGUACGGCAGAGGGGGGUAGAAUUCCACGUGUAGCAGUGAAAUGCGUAGAGAUGUGGAGGAAUACCGAUGGCGAAGGCAGCCCCCUGGGUCGAUACUGACGCUCAUGCACGAAAGCGUGGGGAGCAAACAGG